rnacentral:rRNA from 1 species
AUUGAACGCUGGCGGCAGGCCUAACACAUGCAAGUCGAGCGGAUGAAGGGAGCUUGCUCCUGGAGUCAGCGGCGGACGGGUGAGUAAUGCCUAGGAAUCUGCCUGGUAGUGGGGGAUAACGUCCGGAAACGGGCGCUGAUACCGCAUACGUCCUGAGGGAGAAAGUGGGGGAUCUUCGGACCUCACGCUAUCAGAUGAGCCUAGGUCGGAUUAGCUAGUUGGUGGGGUAAAGGCCUACCAAGGCGACGAUCCGUAACUGGUCUGAGAGGAUGAUCAGUCACACUGGAACUGAGACACGGUCCAGACUCCUACGGGAGGCAGCAGUGGGGAAUAUUGGACAAUGGGCGAAAGCCUGAUCCAGCCAUGCCGCGUGUGUGAAGAAGGUCUUCGGAUUGUAAAGCACUUUAAGUUGGGAGGAAGGGCAGUAAGUUAAUACCUUGCUGUUUUGACGUUACCAACAGAAUAAGCACCGGCUAACUUCGUG